rnacentral:pre_miRNA from 2 species
AAGCAAUUAAGGUAUUGGCGUGCCUCAAUUUGAACACAUGAUUAUUAUCAAAACCAGCCAUGUAGUUUUAAUUGAGCCGCGUCAAUAUCUUAUUUUUUUUU